rnacentral:rRNA from 1 species
GAUGAACGCUGGCGGCGUGCCUAAUACAUGCAAGUCGAGCGAACGGACGAGAAGCUUGCUCCUCUGAUGUUAGCGGCGGACGGGUGAGUAACACGUGGAUAACCUACCUAUAAGACUGGGAUAACUUCGGGAAACCGGAGCUAAUACCGGAUAAUAUAUUGAACCGCAUGGUUCAAAAGUGAAAGACGGUCUUGCUGUCACUUAUAGAUGGAUCCGCGCUGCAUUAGCUAGUUGGUAAGGUAACGGCUUACCAAGGCAACGAUGCAUAGCCGACCUGAGAGGGUGAUCGGCCACACUGGAACUGAGACACGGUCCAGACUCCUACGGGAGGCAGCAGUAGGGAAUCUUCCGCAAUGGGCGAAAGCCUGACGGAGCAACGCCGCGUGAGUGAUGAAGGUCUUCGGAUCGUAAAACUCUGUUAUUAGGGAAGAACAUAUGUGUAAGUAACUGUGCACAUCUUGACGGUACCUAAUCAGAAAGCCACGGCUAACUACGUG